rnacentral:tRNA from 1 species
AAAGUUGUGGCUCAGUGGUAGAGAGCUUGCCUCUCAUGUAUGAGGCACUGGGUUCCAUCCCCAGCACCAUAU